UACAGAGGGUGCAAGCGUUAAUCGGAUUUACUGGGCGUAAAGCGUGCGUAGGCGGUUCAUUAAGUCGGUUGUGAAAUCCUUGGGCUUAACCUGGGAACUGCAGUCGAUACUGGUGGACUAGAAUGCGGUAGAGGGUGGCGGAACUCCGGGUGUAGCGGUGAAAUGCGUAGAUAUCCGGAAGAACACCGAUGGCGAAGGCAACCACCUGGGCCUGCAUUGACGCUGAGGUACGAAAGCGUGGGGAGCAAACAGG
rnacentral:rRNA from 1 species